rnacentral:rRNA from 1 species
UACGUAGGUGGCAAGCGUUGUCCGGAUUUACUGUGCGUAAAGAGCGCGCAGGCGGUCGUUCAAGUCGCGUGUGAAAGCCCCCGGCUCAACUGGGGAGGGUCACGCGAUACUGAUCGACUCGAAGGCAGGAGAGGGUAGUGGAAUUCCCGGUGUAGUGGUGAAAUGCGUAGAUAUCGGGAGGAACACCAGUGGCGAAGGCGACUACCUGGCCUGUUCUUGACGCUGAGGCGCGAAAGCUAGGGGAGCAAACGGG